rnacentral:rRNA from 1 species
GUGGGGAAUUUUGCGCAAUGGGGGCAACCCUGAUCCAGCAAUGCCGCGUGCAGGAAGAAGGCCUUCGGGUUGUAAACUGCUUUUGUACGGAACGAAACGGUCCUGGUUAAUACCUGGGGCUAAUGACGGUACCGUAAGAAUAAGCACCGGCUAACUACGUGCCAGCAGCCGCGGUAAUACGUAGGGUGCAAGCGUUAAUCGGAAUUACUGGGCGUAAAGCGUGCGCAGGCGGUUUUGUAAGACAGGCGUGAAAUCCCCGGGCUCAACCAGGGAAUGGCGCUUGUGACUGCAAGGCUGGAGUGCGGCAGAGGGGGAUGGAAUUCCGCGUGUAGCAGUGAAAUGCGUAGAUAUGCGGAGGAACACCGAUGGCGAAGGCAAUCCCCUGGGCCUGCACUGACGCUCAUGCACGAAAGCGUGGGGAGCAAACAGGAUUAGAUACCCCAGUAGUCC